CAGGAGAAUUCGCUGCUCAAAGUCCCUGUUUCAUCUCAGUAAAGUGUAAACACGGCAUGGCGCGCACACAGCUAAACAGACUUUGACUCAUUCGGUCAACCGUGUUGUUUAUCGACGCCAUGGCGGAUGACGUUUACUAUGUCGGCGUGGACGUGGGCACGGCCAGUGUGAGGGCGGCGCUGGUCACCAGAUAUGGCGACCUAAAGACCACAGCUCAGGAGCCCAUCAGCAUCUGGGAGCCUCACACCGACCAUUACGUACAAUCCUCCCACGACAUCUGGGAUAAAUGCUGCCUCGUCGUCAAGGAAGUCACGAGGGGAAUAAACAGGAGCCAAGUGAGAGGAAUCGGCUUUGAUGCCACCUGUUCUCUGGUUGUGUUGGACCGAAGCUUCCAGCCUGUAGCAGUCAACAAGGACGGUGAGGAUGAGAGAAACGUGGUAAUGUGGAUGGACCAUCGUGCUGCGGAGCAAGCCGCUCGCAUCACAAGCGCUGGCCACCGUGUCCUAAGUAGAGUGGGAGGGGUCAUGUCACCAGAGAUGCAACCUCCCAAGCUUCUCUGGCUUAAAGAGAAUCUGAGGGAAAGUUGCUGGAACAAAGCCGCUCACUUUUUUGACCUUCCAGACUUUCUGUCAUGGAAGGCAACAGGCUCUUUAAGCAGAUCCCUAUGCACGCUGGUAUGUAAAUGGACCUAUUGCCCUCCAGAGGGAUGGGAUGUGAGUUUUUGGACUUCAAUAGGUCUAAAGGAUCUUACUGAAAACAACUUUUUAAAAAUAGGCAGUGAGACGUGUUCUCCAGGGAGCCCACUUGGGGAUGGCCUGACCCAGAAGGCAGCUGCAGAUUUGGGUUUGGAUCCGGGAACUGCAGUCGGGGCUUCACUCAUCGAUGCUCAUGCUGGAGGCCUAGGUGUCAUAGGAGCAGAUGUAAAAGGCUUCCAGCUGCCGUGCGAAGGCCAGCCAAUUACCUCACGCAUGGCAAUGAUCUGCGGGACGUCAUCUUGUCACAUGGCGAUCAGUGAACAGCCGCUUUUUGUGCCAGGAGUAUGGGGUCCCUGUCUGUCUGCCAUGGUACCACACUUGUGGCUUAACGAGGGAGGACAGAGCGCCACCGGACGUCUGAUUGACCACAUGGUGACGGGCCACGCUGCCUACACGCAGCUCCAAAAAAAGGCACAGCAGAGAUGUCCUGCUGUAGGCGACCGUAUGUACAGCUACUUGAACAGCCACCUUAGUGGAUUGGCUUCUUCUUCAGCUGUUGACCUGCUGGGCUCCAGUCUUCACGUGUGGCCUGACUUUCAUGGGAACAGGUCUCCCCUGGCUGACCCCACCUUGAAAGGCAUGGUUGUUGGACUUUCUCUGUCUCAAAGUCUGGAUGACUUAGCAGUGCUCUACUUGUGCACCAUACAAGCCCUGGCGCUCGGCACACGUCAUAUUCUGGAGGCCAUGACAGAAGCAGGACAUGAUAUCAAAACCAUCUUCUUAUGUGGAGGCUUGGGCAAAAACGCCCUGUUUGUGCAGGUUCAUGCCAAUGCUACAGGGUUGCCUGUUGUGUUGCCCGACCAGACGGAGGCUGUGUUGGUGGGAGCAGCAGUCCUGGGAGCAUGUGCAUCUGGGGACCAUGGCACUAUACAGGAUGCAAUGUCCAAAAUGGCUAAGGUGGGAAAGGUCGUCGUGCCUGAUCACAACCUUCAGAGCUUUUACCAAAGAAAGUACAAAGUGUUCCGGCGCCUUGUGGACCACCAGAGAGAAUACCAGACUCUUAUGAGCACUUUUGAAUCUGACUGUCCUUCACUGUGACGACCUUAGGUUUUGUACGACCCGCCGUCUGGGUGGUCAUACACAUUAACAAGCUCAUCAAGUGCCUUAAAGAAUCCCUCACGUUGAUGAUUCAACAGUAGGGCCUUUUUUUUUAACGAGACAGCAAAAUAAGCCACCGUGAGGCCAAAGAACUUAAAGCAAAGUACGAAAGCCGGUGUCAGGCUGGCUCCUCCCUCUUCUACAAUCGCCAUCUUCGUCUUUCAUUAAGGGAGAAAGAGUAACAACCCGAGGUCACCAGAUUUUGUGCCAGCAAUCUUUAAACAUGUGCCAUCCCCGCAGAAGAGGAGGAGGAGUGCAAGGAGAAGGCAGCUGGUUGUAUUCAACAGACGG